CAGGUUGGUCAGGCGAUCGCAUUUGCGCACUGCGCAAAUGAGGAAAGUCCGCACUCCACAGAGCAUGGCGCCGGGUAACACCCGGGGCGGGGAAACCUGCCGGAACGGGCCACAGAGACAUACCGCCGGGCCGCAAGGCCCUGGCAAGGGUGAAAAGGUGGUGUAAGAGACCACCGGCGACUGCAGUAAUGCAGCGGCCAGGCAACCGCCGCCAGGAGCAAGGCCAAGCAGGCGCGAGAGGCUGCUCGUCUCGUUUGAGCGCCGGGUAGGCUGCUGGAGCCGUCUGGAGACAGGCGGCCAAGAGAGAUGAUCGCCCAGGCGGAAAGGGUCCGCAAGGAAACCGUUCUGCCGGACAGAAUGCGGCUUAUAGACUGACCUGGACG
rnacentral:RNase_P_RNA from 1 species